UCCAGUCUUUGGCCCUGGGCCCUUGCAGUGUGUAAUUGACACAAACUGCCCUGGAAACGCGCUCAGAAAUAGAUUUAAACAACCAGCUGGCCCAGAGAACAGCUCCUGCUGACUGCGGGGGUGCUGCGUGCUUGGUGGGGCUCUCUCCUCGUGGGGACACUUCAGGAGAGCUGCAGCUCCUGCCACCUGCCCACGCAGCAACGCGCCUCACAAUGAAGCAGAAAAAUAAACCCUGUAGCACAAUUCUGUUUCUAAAAAGAAAAGUAAAACUGGCAUUUCCAGAGGAAGGCGAGGAGCAGCUCGUGGGGCUGCUGCCCUGGAGGCAGCAGGGCAGGAGCAGUGAGGGGGUUGGGAGCUGGGUUUGAAGGGAAGAAAAUGAGGAUUGAGUAAUUCUGUGCUGUGGUGAUGCCAAAACCUGACACAGCCCUGGGUGCGGCCUGGGAUCCUGGAUAAAUUCCCUCUUCCCUCCUGCUGCCUGCAAUGAAGAUUUUCCUCCAGGGAUCAUGACCGUGAGGAGGAGCUCGGCCAGGAGUUGUCCUCAUCCUGCACCCUUGGCUCUCCAGGAUGUGAGAUCCCACCCCACCCCUGCACUAAAGGUGCUGCCAGCCGAUGUCAGAGCCUGACAAAGAGCCUUGGAUGGGAAAGGAGCCACCCGUGAGUGUCCUGUGCCUGCCCAGUGCUGAGGUCCUGGGGAGCAGCCAGCUGGGCAGGGCAUCCCACCCAUCCCAUCCCAGCAGGAUUCCCUCACUCAGGAGUUGUUUGACCCCUCUUGGUGACUGUCAGGACCACCUUGCUGCAUCCACAGGGCCGUGCCAAACCCAGUUUGCAUCUCCAGCUGUCAGAGCAAGGUAAAAUAAACAUCCAAAAGAUUAAGGUGCCAACCAGAAAAAAUGAAUCCAUUAGUUCUUUUUUUUUCCCCCUAACGGCCCUUGUGCCAUGAACUUCAAUCCUGCUCGAGCUGGAAUUUUCUAUUUGGUAACAAGGCACCUGGUGGAGGCAAAUUCUCGUCCCCACUGGGAACACAGAGAGGUGGCACAGAGCCCUCUCCAGCGUUGGUGGUGACGUU